UACGAAGGGGGCGAGCGUUGUUCGGAUUUACUGGGCGUAAAGGGCGCGCAGGCGGCUCAUCAAGUCAGGCGUGAAAGCCCCGGGCUUAACCUGGGAAUUGCGUCUGGGACUGAUGGGCUAGAGAUCGGGAGAGGAGAGUGGAAUUCCCAGUGUAGAGGUGAAAUUCGUAGAUAUUGGGAAGAACACCGGUGGCGAAGGCGGCUCUCUGGACCGAUACUGGACGCUGAGGCGCGAAAGCGUGGGGAGCAAACAGG
rnacentral:rRNA from 1 species